rnacentral:tRNA from 1 species
GGGCUAUUAGCUCAGUUGGUUAGAGCGCUAUGUUGAUAACGUAGAUGUCAAAAGUUCAAAUCUUUUAUAGCCCA